rnacentral:misc_RNA from 1 species
GUUCUGUUCGAACAACUUUGGA